GCGGUGGAGCAUGUGGUUUAAUUCGACGCAACGCGAAGAACCUUACCAGGGCUUGACAUCCCCUGACCGCGUAUGAAAGUACGUUUUCACCCUCGGGUGACAGGGAGACAGGUGGUGCAUGGUUGUCGUCAGCUCGUGUCGUGAGAUGUUGGGUUAAGUCCCGCAACGAGCGCAACCCCUACGUUUAGUUGCUAACGCGUGAAGGCGAGCACUCUAGACGAACUGCCGUUGACAAACGGAGGAAGGUGGGAUGACGUCAAAUCAUCAUGCCCCUUAUGUUCUGGGCUACACACGUGCUACAAUGGCCGGUACAGACGGACGCAAAGCCGCGAGGCGGAGCAAAUCCUAAAAAGCCGGUCUCAGUUCGGAUUGCAGGCUGCAAUUCGCCUGCAUGAAGUCGGAAUCGCUAGUAAUCGCAGGUCAGCAUACUGCGGUGAAUACGUUCCCGGGCCUU
rnacentral:rRNA from 1 species